GCGUUGGUGGUUUAGUGGUAAAAUUCAUCGUUGCCAUCCGUUGCUUUGACUUUAAGAGAACAUAAAUUCUCCGAAGGCUUCAACAACCAAGUAUCGAUGAGCCCCGGGUUCGAUUCCCGGCCGACGCA
rnacentral:tRNA from 1 species